UGUCCGGCUCAAAGACAAAUUCACAAACAGCGACACCUUGUCAAGAGUAAAUUCAGAUCGCAUUACAUUUUUUACCGUGUCGUCAGAUAUUCUCGCUGCACCAGCUCUGAGCUUGAAUGUGAGACAUGUCAGAAAAGAGAACAGUGGAGAGGGAGAGGAGAAUCAGGAGGAGAUCUUAGAGGAUGAGGAGCAUCACGCUGAUCUUGGGUCACACAGAGCACACACUCAAAACAAUCCUGCAGCUGUCAAAAGAUGGAGUUUAAAACCUGCAGUGACUCUGGGAGUGAUCCAGCUGCUGAUACUAGCUGGACUCUUCAUACGUUGUGAGGAAAAUUGUCAUAUAUUAAAUCCCUCUCUGUUUCUCUGUAAUGCCGUCUUAAUGUUUUUCAUGAGAAAAUAUAGUUAAGAUAUUUCAGUCAUUUUGGAAAAAGACCAACUGCAGACAAGAUACAACAACCUGCACAACAAUCACAGCCAGUUACAGGAUGAAGUAAAGCAGCUCCAGGGGAAAAUUGCAGCCCAAGACCCCACCCUGAUAAUUUUGGUUCUGGGAGACAGGACACUCUCAAAAGACCUGGUACCAGUAUGUAGAAUGCUGCAGUCAGCAAGGAAAAUGGACACAAAGCAAAUAUUACAAUUCUAACACCUGGAUCUGUGAAAAAAAUAUCUCUUGCUUUUACUGUAGGGGAAGUGGUGUGUAUUUUUAGGAUGAAUCCAUCAACCCAAUCACUAUUUGUGCAGUUACUCACUCUGCACUCUCUGCAUAACAAACACAUGGCUCAUUGACUGACAAAUCCCCAUACAUAGUCAUAGUUACAUAACUUUUAAGUGACAACAGUAGAAAUGUGUUUUUUUCUCCCCUAAAACCGACUUGCCAUUCGACUCAAUAUUGUUACAUUUAACAGGUCACAUGACUCAGAUGGGAGUCUUAUGGUCUUUAUUACAUUAACUGUAUUAGUCAUGGAUGUAUAUUGUACAAAUAAAGAAUGUACAGAAACUUUGA